GAUGAACGCUAGCUACAGGCUUAACACAUGCAAGUCGAGGGGCAGCAUGGUCUUAGCUUGCUAAGGCCGAUGGCGACCGGCGCACGGGUGAGUAACACGUAUCCAACCUGCCGUCUACUCUUGGACAGCCUUCUGAAAGGAAGAUUAAUACAAGAUGGCAUCAUGAGUCCACAUGUUCACAUGAUUAAAGGUAUUCCGGUAGACGAUGGGGAUGCGUUCCAUUAGAUAGUAGGCGGGGUAACGGCCCACCUAGUCUUCGAUGGAUAGGGGUUCUGAGAGGAAGGUCCCCCACAUUGGAACUGAGACACGGUCCAAACUCCUACGGGAGGCAGCAGUGAGGAAUAUUGGUCAAUGGGCGAGAGCCUGAACCAGCCAAGUAGCGUGAAGGAUGACUGCCCUAUGGGUUGUAAACUUCUUUUAUAAAGGAAUAAAGUCGGGUAUGGAUACCCGUUUGCAUGUACUUUAUGAAUAAGGAUCGGCUAACUCCGUGCCAGCAGCCGCGGUAAUACGGAGGAUCCGAGCGUUAUCCGGAUUUAUUGGGUUUAAAGGGAGCGUAGAUGGAUGUUUAAGUCAGUUGUGAAAGUUUGCGGCUCAACCGUAAAAUUGCAGUUGAUACUGGAUAUCUUGAGCGCAGUUGAGGCAGGCGGAAUUCGUGGUGUAGCGGUGAAAUGCUUAGAUAUCACGAAGAACUCCGAUUGCGAAGGCAGCCUGCUAAGCUGCAACUGACAUUGAGGCUCGAAAGUGUGGGUAUCAAACAGGAUUAGAUACCCUGGUAGUCCACACGGUAAACGAUGAAUACUCGCUGUUUGCGAUAUACAGCAAGCGGCCAAGCGAAAGCGUUAAGUAUUCCACCUGGGGAGUACGCCGGCAACGGUGAAACUCAAAGGAAUUGACGGGGGCCCGCACAAGCGGAGGAACAUGUGGUUUAAUUCGAUGAUACGCGAGGAACCUUACCCGGGCUUAAAUUGCAGAUGAAUUACGGUGAAAGCCGUAAGCCGCAAGGCAUCUGUGAAGGUGCUGCAUGGUUGUCGUCAGCUCGUGCCGUGAGGUGUCGGCUUAAGUGCCAUAACGAGCGCAACCCUUGUUGUCAGUUACUAACAGGUUCCGCUGAGGACUCUGACAAGACUGCCAUCGUAAGAUGUGAGGAAGGUGGGGAUGACGUCAAAUCAGCACGGCCCUUACGUCCGGGGCUACACACGUGUUACAAUGGGGGGUACAGAGGGCCGCUACCACGCGAGUGGAUGCCAAUCCCAAAAACCUCUCUCAGUUCGGACUGGAGUCUGCAACCCGACUCCACGAAGCUGGAUUCGCUAGUAAUCGCGCAUCAGCCACGGCGCGGUGAAUACGUUCCCGGGCCU
rnacentral:rRNA from 1 species